AAAACAUUUGGAUCGUCGGUCUACCGAGUAAUAUCACCCGUUCAAUAGCAGAUUCUUCCCUUUGUCGU
rnacentral:pre_miRNA from 1 species